rnacentral:tRNA from 1 species
AGUCUUGUAUUCAAUUAUGAUUUUAGAUUGCAAAUCUAAAGGUAAAGUUAUACUUUUAAGGCUU